UGUACAUCUAUUACUCAUAUAGGAAUCUAUAAAUACUUUUUCUUAUUUACCGAAUACAACAAAGGUUUGCAAAACAUAGAAGACUUGAGAAAAAGGUGCAUGGGUUCUCAUUUCUUCCCAUUACAAAUUCUCCAUUCGACGCUCCGUGCAUUUCGCAGAGAUGGAUUUAUGCCCAAUAGAUUUAAGACAAUUAGUGGUUGUUUGGUAGGGAGUAUUAGGACAAAUAUGUAUGAUAUUAUGUAGUAGUAUAUAAUUAAUACUUGUCAUUUGGUGAGAUUUAAUAUCAUGAGAUUAAUCUAUGUAAA
rnacentral:misc_RNA from 1 species